GAGUUUGAUCGUGGCUCAGGACGAACGCUGGCGGCGUGCCUAAUACAUGCAAGUCGAGCGAACUAACAGGAGCUUGCUCCUGUUAGUUAGCGGCGGACGGGUGAGUAACACGUGGGCAACCUGCCUGUAAGACUGGGAUAACUUCGGGAAACCGGAGCUAAUACCGGAUAAUCCUUUCCCUCUCAUGAGGGAAAGCUGAAAGAUGGUCUUUUGGCUAUCACUUACAGAUGGGCCCGCGGCGCAUUAGCUAGUUGGUGAGGUAACGGCUCACCAAGGCAACGAUGCGUAGCCGACCUGAGAGGGUGAUCGGCCACACUGGGACUGAGACACGGCCCAGGACUCCUACGGGAGGCAGCAGUAGGGAAUCUUCCGCAAUGGACGAAAGUCUGACGGAGCAACGCCGCGUGAGUGAUGAAGGUUUUCGGAUCGGUAAAACUCUGUUGUCAGGGAAGAACAAGUAUCGGAGUAACUGCCGGUACCUUGACGGUACCUGACCAGAAAGCCACGG
rnacentral:rRNA from 1 species